ACUAAGCGUACACGGUGGAUGCCCUGGCAGUCAGAGGCGAUGAAGGACGUGCUAAUCUGCGAUAAGCGUCGGUAAGGUGAUAUGAACCGUUAUAACCGGCGAUUUCCGAAUGGGGAAACCCAGUGUGAUUCGUCACACUAUCAUUAACUGAAUCCAUAGGUUAAUGAGGCGAACCGGGGGAACUGAAACAUCUAAGUACCCCGAGGAAAAGAAAUCAACCGAGAUUCCCCAGUAGCGGCGAGCGAACGGGGAGCAGCCCAGAGCCUGAAUCAGUGUGUGUGUUAGUGGAAGCGUCUGGAAAGGCGUGCGAUACAGGGUGACAGCCCCGUACACAAAAAUGCACAUAUUGUGAGCUCGAUGAGUAGGGCGGGACACGUGGUAUCCUGUCUGAAUAUGGGGGGACCAUCCUCCAAGGCUAAAUACUCCUGACUGACCGAUAGUGAACCAGUACCGUGAGGGAAAGGCGAAAAGAACCCCGGCGAGGGGAGUGAAAAAGAACCUGAAACCGUGUACGUACAAGCAGUGGGAGCACGCUUAGGCGUGUGACUGCGUACCUUUUGUAUAAUGGGUCAGCGACUUAUAUUCUGUAGCAAGGUUAACCGAAUAGGGGAGCCGAAGGGAAACCGAGUCUUAACUGGGCGUUAAGUUGCAGGGUAUAGACCCGAAACCCGGUGAUCUAGCCAUGGGCAGGUUGAAGGUUGGGUAACACUAACUGGAGGACCGAACCGACUAAUGUUGAAAAAUUAGCGGAUGACUUGUGGCUGGGGGUGAAAGGCCAAUCAAACCGGGAGAUAGCUGGUUCUCCCGAAAGCUAUUUAGGUAGCGCCUCGUGAAUUCAUCUCCGGGGGUAGAGCACUGUUUCGGCAAGGGGGUCAUCCCGACUUACCAACCCGAUGCAAACUGCGAAUACCGGAGAAUGUUAUCACGGGAGACACACGGCGGGUGCUAACGUCCGUCGUGAAGAGGGAAACAACCCAGACCGCCAGCUAAGGUCCCAAAGUCAUGGUUAAGUGGGAAACGAUGUGGGAAGGCCCAGACAGCCAGGAUGUUGGCUUAGAAGCAGCCAUCAUUUAAAGAAAGCGUAAUAGCUCACUGGUCGAGUCGGCCUGCGCGGAAGAUGUAACGGGGCUAAACCAUGCACCGAAGCUGCGGCAGCGACACUAUGUGUUGUUGGGUAGGGGAGCGUUCUGUAAGCCUGUGAAGGUGUACUGUGAGGUAUGCUGGAGGUAUCAGAAGUGCGAAUGCUGACAUAAGUAACGAUAAAGCGGGUGAAAAGCCCGCUCGCCGGAAGACCAAGGGUUCCUGUCCAACGUUAAUCGGGGCAGGGUGAGUCGACCCUAAGGCGAGGCCGAAAGGCGUAGUCGAUGGGAAACAGGUUAAUAUUCCUGUACUUGGUGUUACUGCGAAGGGGGACGGAGAAGGCUAUGUUGGCCGGGCGACGGUUGUCCCGGUUUAAGCGUGUAGGCUGGUUUUCCAGGCAAAUCCGGAAAACUAAGGCUGAGGCGUGAUGACGAGGCACUACGGUGCUGAAGCAACAAAUGCCCUGCUUCCAGGAAAAGCCUCUAAGCAUCAGGUAACAUCAAAUCGUACCCCAAACCGACACAGGUGGUCAGGUAGAGAAUACCAAGGCGCUUGAGAGAACUCGGGUGAAGGAACUAGGCAAAAUGGUGCCGUAACUUCGGGAGAAGGCACGCUGAUAUGUAGGUGAAGUCCCUCGCGGAUGGAGCUGAAAUCAGUCGAAGAUACCAGCUGGCUGCAACUGUUUAUUAAAAACACAGCACUGUGCAAACACGAAAGUGGACGUAUACGGUGUGACGCCUGCCCGGUGCCGGAAGGUUAAUUGAUGGGGUCAGCGCAAGCGAAGCUCUUGAUCGAAGCCCCGGUAAACGGCGGCCGUAACUAUAACGGUCCUAAGGUAGCGAAAUUCCUUGUCGGGUAAGUUCCGACCUGCACGAAUGGCGUAAUGAUGGCCAGGCUGUCUCCACCCGAGACUCAGUGAAAUUGAACUCGCUGUGAAGAUGCAGUGUACCCGCGGCAAGACGGAAAGACCCCGUGAACCUUUACUAUAGCUUGACACUGAACAUUGAGCCUUGAUGUGUAGGAUAGGUGGGAGGCUUUGAAGUGUGGACGCCAGUCUGCAUGGAGCCGACCUUGAAAUACCACCCUUUAAUGUUUGAUGUUCUAACGUUGACCCGUAAUCCGGGUUGCGGACAGUGUCUGGUGGGUAGUUUGACUGGGGCGGUCUCCUCCUAAAGAGUAACGGAGGAGCACGAAGGUUGGCUAAUCCUGGUCGGACAUCAGGAGGUUAGUGCAAUGGCAUAAGCCAGCUUGACUGCGAGCGUGACGGCGCGAGCAGGUGCGAAAGCAGGUCAUAGUGAUCCGGUGGUUCUGAAUGGAAGGGCCAUCGCUCAACGGAUAAAAGGUACUCCGGGGAUAACAGGCUGAUACCGCCCAAGAGUUCAUAUCGACGGCGGUGUUUGGCACCUCGAUGUCGGCUCAUCACAUCCUGGGGCUGAAGUAGGUCCCAAGGGUAUGGCUGUUCGCCAUUUAAAGUGGUACGCGAGCUGGGUUUAGAACGUCGUGAGACAGUUCGGUCCCUAUCUGCCGUGGGCGCUGGAGAACUGAGGGGGCUGCUCCUAGUACGAGAGGACCGGAGUGGACGCAUCACUGGUGUUCGGGUUGUCAUGCCAAUGGCACUGCCCGGUAGCUAAAUGCGGAAGAGAUAAGUGCUGAAAGCAUCUAAGCACGAAACUUGCCCCGAGAUGAGUUCUCCCUGACUCCUUGAGAGUCCUGAAGGAACGUUGAAGACGACGACGUUGAUAGGCCGGGUGUGUAAGCGCAGCGAUGCGUUGAGCUAACCGGUACUAAUGAACCGUGAGGCUUAACC
rnacentral:rRNA from 1 species